rnacentral:rRNA from 1 species
CAUAGGCCAUGCGAAGCGAACGCGGUGAACUGAAACAUCUAAGUAACCGCAGGAAAAGAAAUCAACCGAGAUUCCCAGAGUAGUGGCGAGCGAAAUGGGACCAGCCUGUACUCUUUAUCUUCAUUGUUAGUCGAAGGCUCUGGAAAGUGCCGCCAUAGCAGGUGAUAGCCCUGUAGACGAAAACAGCGAGGAAGAACUAGGUGUACGACAAGUAGGGCGGGACACGUGAAAUCCUGUCUGAAGAUGGGGGGACCAUCCUCCAAGGCUAAAUACUCGUGAUCG